AACAGUGAGUACCACACCCUACACGCUUACAAUGAUGAUCCAAAUUGCAUUUUUUCUGGCAUCUCUAAUGUUAGCGUCCUCCGGGACCCGAUGAAUAUAAUUUUUACUCUGAAACUUCAGUUUGAAAUUCGUUCGUUCUUUUGAAUCAACACUAACUCAAGAUCCUUGAUAGACCUGUCGAGUCCUUUAUUUAUAGCUGAUUUAUUAUUAUUUUAAAAUCUGAACGUUUGUUAAGUAACU
rnacentral:misc_RNA from 1 species